UACAGAGGUCCCAAGCGUUGUUCGGAUUCACUGGGCGUAAAGGGUGCGUAGGUGGCAGGGUAAGUUUGAUGUGAAAUCUCCGAGCUUAACUCGGAAACUGCAUUGAAUACUAUCCUGCUCGAGGGUUGGAAGGGGGACUGGAAUUCUCGGUGUAGCAGUGAAAUGCGUAGAUAUCGAGAGGAACACCAGUGGCGAAGGCGAGUCCCUGGACAACACCUGACACUGAGGCACGAAAGCUAGGGGAGCAAAUGGG
rnacentral:rRNA from 1 species